UUAGUUGACCAAGGGAUAAAAUUUAUCACUUGAGAAAUGGGUUCCUCAUUUGCUUGUUUCUGGAGCACCCUCCUGUGUUAGAAAAGAUGAGUUAAGAUGUGUAUUUAGCACAAAAAAGAAUAAGACGGUAUCGAUUGAACAAUGAACUCCCCUAAACCACAUUAGAAAGCAGAGGGAAAUCAGGUUCUCCAGAAGAAACAGCAGUUUUCAUUAUACUAAUGGCCACUGUUAUUUUAUCUGUGACCAGUGAUGAAUCAUUUUGGAUAUGUUAAAAAAAACAAGGAAAAGACGGAGUUGUAGCCGUAUGACAAGUGGAAUACUUCAUGGUCAUUUGUGACAAAAAUUACGAUACUAAAAAAACAAAGUCAUACAAAAAUGAAAACAAUUUCAAACCUUCAAUCGUAAAAGGAAACAAUCGCUCAUGUAUUUUGUAAAAUCUGGAAGGAUAUACAGACUGUAUUAUUUAAAGCAAAAUCGACAUAGAAACAUUUUACGACUUUUCAAUCUUUUUCAGGUAUAUUAGUUUCAGCACACCUUUCUUUUUUUCAUUAUUAUAAAUACUUAUCUUUGAGUACAGAAACAAUGAAAUAAUGCAUCUAACUUGA